GAUGAACGCUGACAGAAUGCUUAACACAUGCAAGUCUACUUGAUCCUUCGGGUGAUGGUGGCGGACGGGUGAGUAACGCGUAAAGAACUUGCCCUGCAGUCUAGGACAACAUUUGGAAACGAAUGCUAAUACCGGAUAUUAUGUGAGCUUCGCAUGAAAUUCAUAUGAAAGCUAUAUGCGUUGCAGGAGAGCUUUGCGUCCUAUUAGCUAGUUGGUGAGGUAACGGCUCACCAAGGCGAUGAUAGGUAGCCGGCCUGAGAGGGUGAACGGCCACAAGGGGACUGAGACACGGCCCUUACUCCUACGGGAGGCAGCAGUGGGGAAUAUUGGACAAUGGACCAAAGGUCUGAUCCAGCAAUUCUGUGUGCACGAUGAAGUUUUUCGGAAUGUAAAGUGCUUUCAGUUGGGACGAAGUAAGUGACGGUACCAACAGAAGAAGCGACGGCUAAAUACGUGCCAGCCGCCGCGGUAA
rnacentral:rRNA from 1 species